UCAAGAGUACGUGAAACCGUUCAGGGGUAAACGGGAGAAAUCCUGAAUUCGAAAGGGGUUGGAUUCAUGUCUUCCGACGUAACAGUACGGUCACACCAUGAUGGUGCUGGUCGCCCGCGGCGAUUAAUUUCGCNNNCGGUGUCGUUUCUGGCGUCCACUUGGCAGCUGGCAUGUCACUUCGCGGAGGACUGCACUUCUCCCCUAGUAGAAACGUCGCGACCCGUUGGGUGCCGGNNAAAGGCCUGGGUAGGAAGACCGCGUGUCCUGUGUGGGUUCCAUGGGCAUGCGGACNNCUGGUGACCCGGCCGGCUGCCCGACGGUAUGACCCGAGGAGUCGAUCCGCUAAAUGGGAAACACUAUGGUUGUGAAGCGUGCG
rnacentral:rRNA from 1 species